CAGCCGCCACGGUAAUACGUAGGUGGCAAGCGUUGUCCGGAUUUAUUGGGCGUAAAGGGCUCGCAGGCGGUUUCUUAAGUCUGAUGUGAAAGCCCCCGGCUCAACCGGGGAGGGUCAUUGGAAACUGGGAAACUUGAGUGCAGAAGAGGAGAGUGGAAUUCCACGUGUAGCGGUGAAAUGCGUAGAGAUGUGGAGGAACACCAGUGGCGAAGGCGACUCUCUGGUCUGUAACUGACGCUGAGGAGCGAAAGCGUGGGGAGCGAACAGGAUUAGAGACCCCUGUAGUCCCUGUCUCUUAUAC
rnacentral:rRNA from 1 species